AGCGAACGCUGGCGGCAGGCCUAACACAUGCAAGUCGAACGCCCCGCAAGGGGAGUGGCAGACGGGUGAGUAACGCGUGGGAAUCUACCCAGAUCUUCGGAACAACUGAGGGAAACUUCAGCUAAUACCGGAUACGCCCUACGGGGGAAAGAUUUAUCGGUUCUGGAUGAGCCCGCGUUGGAUUAGCUAGUUGGUGGGGUAAUGGCCUACCAAGGCGACGAUCCAUAGCUGGUCUGAGAGGAUGAUCAGCCACACUGGGACUGAGACACGGCCCAGACUCCUACGGGAGGCAGCAGUGGGGAAUAUUGGACAAUGGGCGAAAGCCUGAUCCAGCCAUGCCGCGUGAGUGAUGAAGGCCUUAGGGUUGUAAAGCUCUUUCAGUGGGGAAGAUAAUGACGGUACCCACAGAAGAAGCCCCGGCUAACUUCGUGCCAGCAGCCGCCGUAAGAC
rnacentral:rRNA from 1 species